UUUUAUAUCUGAGGUUUCCGUUGACUUCUUUUAUCUGCAACCUGCCUCCCCUUUCCCUCCCUGCUGACCCAGAGGCCGCUGCCGCACCGAGCCGCCCAGGGCCGGCCUCUCCCGGCCUCCUGUGCCAUGUUUUAUGCAUGAAGAUGAUGGGGCGGUAAUUUAUUCAGCAGAGAGGAUCUGGGCUCCUGUGUCGGCCCCAGCGUCAGCAGAGCCGCGCGCAGUGGCUGGCAGGGUGGCCUGAAAUGGGAAUCCAUCUCUGCAGGCAGGAGUGAGGGGCAGGGCUGCUGAGCCACAAGGCAACACGGGUUGUGGGGUUUACCUGCCCGGGUCCCUGGUGCCCACAGGAGUGCGUGGCCACUUGCUGGUGGGCAGUAAGAAUUGGUCAAACAGGUGAAUGACUCACUGAAGCCAGCUCAGCGAUGGGAGCAAGCUUCUGAGGGCAAGAAUUAUGCAUUCCUGUCACAUACAGCAAGUGACAUGGAGGUGUGACUUGGGGCAGCCCCCAGAUCUCCAUCACCUUUCCACAGCCUUCCCAAGGCAACGGUAGACACUGAGAUCAUAACACAGUCUCCGUCAGGCGCCCAUGAGGUCUCUUACUGCAGCAACUGGACGACGCCCCUGACUGGCCAGUGCAGUUCAAGAAAACCAGGAGUGGACCCGUGUUCUGGAGACCCAGGAAGACGCCCGUGUUCUUCAUUUCUCUUCUACAUGGCACUUAACAGACCUCAAAUCUGGGAGAAUCAGACCUUCUUUCCUCCUGGCUAAGCCACACAUUUCCUAGAGCUUCUGCUACGUGCGUCUCCCACGUUCUGACGUGCAGGACUCACAGCAGCACAUCACCUCCACAGCAGGCCAGGGGCGGCACGUACAGUCGGGGGAAAUGAGAGGCCACAGAAGAGCCGGCGUUUCCUUCCUCAGAUUUAAAUCUCAACAGUUCCCUUCUUAUAUCAUGGAGGGGCGGCGUGGGGCAUGGAGCGGGAAGCCUACCACUGCCUCCCUCUGCUGCUCUUUUCCACCGGGGUUGGCCGUGCUGCAGGCCUGGGCUGCAAGGGGCUGUUUCCUGUUGUGAAUUGCUGCACUCCAUCUUCUCUUUCAUCAUCUGCACACACAUGAAUGCCUGGAGUCAAUUGCUUUGUGGAGUGUUAGUCUCCUAAGGAAAAUUUCCAUCUGUGUUAAGUGCAGUUUCAAUGUUUACUCUUCUUGAAGCCCGCGUUGCUAUUAAAUUUUCAUAAGUCACAGAAUUUCAUGGUGGAAAUGCACAGAAUCUGCUAGGAAUGACGUGACGUGUUAGAAGCGCACGGGGGAGAAGCACAAUUAUGUGGUCCUUUCCUCUCUUCCCCUCUAGUCAUUUUCAAUAAGUGGAGCUGGACGUUAGACCUGGGAGCCAGAGCCCGGCAUGGCUGCUUCUGCCUGAAAGCCGUCCUGGGAGGUCAGAACUCCCUCCCACCCCUGGGCCAAGGGUGGAAACUGUGGGGCAGAGGCACCCAGACUUAGGAAGGCCACACGGGAAGCGUGGUGUCACUGUGAGAUAAAUGCUCAUGGAGCGCAGGAGGAAGACGGCAGCACAGAGCUGACUUGCCUCUCCGCCCCGUUGCACAAGAGGGCUCGCCCACGUUCUGGAACCCGCCGAGGUCUGGAAGCUAAGCACCGUGUGCUGCCUGCAUGCAUUACUGAACACUGACAAAGAGAUCGGCUGUGUCACAAGCUUUACCUGGAUAGGUGGCUUUAUUUCAUUUCCCCCACGUGGUUCUAAGCAUUUUACUAAUAAAAAAGUGAAGUUGA